UGCUCGAGUGGCGAACGGGUGAGUAACACGUGAGUAACCUGCCCUUGACUUUGGGAUAACUUCAGGAAACUGGGGCUAAUACCGGAUAGGAGCUCCUGCUGCAGUGGUGGGGGUUGGAAAGUUUCGGCGGUUGGGGAUGGACUCGCGGCUUAUCAGCUUGUUGGUGGGGUAGUGGCUUACCAAGGCUUUGACGGGUAGCCGGCCUGAGAGGGUGACCGGCCACAUUGGGACUGAGAUACGGCCCAG
rnacentral:rRNA from 1 species